UUUUUUUUUUUUUUUUUUUUUUUGCUGUGUGGCCAGGGCCAGGUCAGCUGGAUGAGAUGGAGAAAGGAGGAUCUUACUAGUUGCUUUCGGAAAUCGAAUCUGCAAAUGGUGGCCUUCUUCCUCCUGGGGACAGACAGCUGUGGUGGGGUCGAGGAGGGGGAGUGGGGGCGGUGGGCAGGGCCUAUACAGGAUGCUUUGUGUUUUCCAACAAGGGCAGUUUCAAAUACAGGCUCUGGCUGGGCCUUAGCCUGGCGCUUGGGGACUUAUCUUUGUAGGGGCCCCCUUCUUGUCUAGAACGGACCGUACCCCCGUGGCAGGCUCCGUGGUGUUUACUAAACAUCAUGGGAGGGGGCAGAGUGCACCGCCUUGCUCACACCUGUGCCAAGAAAGCCCAGCCAGGAAACAGGGUGUUGCUUACAUGCAUGCCACAAAUGUGUAGCGUGUGUAGACAUUGCCUCGGCAUCCAUGUUCCCUUGGUGGUGUGUCACAAACUGUGACACAUGCUCCGAGGAAUGGGGAGUGGGGAAAAGUUAGCCUAGACACCCUGCUGCCUGAGUCCACUUCCCCUACCCCUUUGUGGUACAUGAGGACAUUUAUUCUGAAUUUUGGCUCUGAUAUACUCAAAACCACCAAUUUUUUGGUUUUUUUUUUCCCCCUAGGCUGUGGGCAUGUUGGUGCAGUAACUGCAGACUUUGUCCCCAGGAGGAUUGAGGGUUGCCGGGAGGUGGCCCGGUCUUCUCCUAGGCUGGUGUGUGUUCUUAAACCUGCCUUGAGUCAUAGGCUUCGGCCUUGAUCUCCAUUUGAUUGGCUAGUACCGAGGGUUUCAGGUCCCAGAGGUGCCUGGUAACCUUCCCUCGGCUCUGGAGACCCCAAGUUUGGCUUUAGCUUUAGUACCUGGCUGAGUUGGGGGUGGGGGUGUCUUUUUAGGCUCUGUUCUUCUCCCUGCCAUCCCUCAAAAUGCCAAGGAGUUGUCAGCGAAGGCCAGUAGUUGAGAGGAACGGUGACCCGCUAUAGGAAGGACAGGACAUUCCCUGGUCCUCCCGGGGCACAGUCACUGUGUGGCUAGCUGAUCUUUGACUACCUCAGGCUAGAGGCCCCCUACUUUCCCUGGCUGCUCAAGAGGUCUGUCUGUUGGAAGAGAGCAGUAAGGAAUCAGACCAGAGAGUCCCCAGCAGCCAGGUCCCCCGACCCACUCAUGCCAGCUGAGGUGUGUGUGUGUGUGUGUGUGGGGGGGGCUACCUCCGAGGAACACCUGAGUCCUGUGUUUGGCCCCGGGUUGUCUGAGGCACAAGUCUGGUCUUGGUGGAGCGGUGUUGUGUGUCAGAAAAUGGGGAAAAAGGAACUGGAAACAUGGCCCAGGCUGGUAUAAUCCCGCCCUUCUAAUUCUUCACCUGGCAUGAGGGAAUUCCAUCCAUGUAGCUCGUGCUUUGUGGGGGCGUCAACGAGGGUGGGGGCUCCAGUGGAGGCCUCUAGUGGAGGUGUGUGACUCCCCCACCCCCCUAGGGCCUGUGUGGAUGGAGGUGUGGCCACCAGGGCCUGUAGCAUUGGUCUCCAGGCCAGAGGUGGGGUUGGGGUUUGCUACUAGGGAUCUUGUCCCAUGUCAAGAUAUUUGCUUUGUGUCCGAGAUAUUUGCUUUGUGUCCGUUCCCUAGGAAGUGGAGGAGCCUCCUUGGGGUUCCCUUAGGCCUGGGCAUUAUGUAACCUGUCUGCAUUUUAUAGUGCGGCCCAACCACUGUAUUGAGAAAUGUUUGCUCAAAUGAAACAAAGGUGAAUUUGAGUGCAGUUCAUUCCCAGAAAACCACUGGUAGCCCCUGGCCCAGCCUUGAGUCGCCCGUGUCGGAGUGUGUCUCCCACAGGGGUGAGACGUAUGUGGUCUGUAAGAAGCUUAGUUGAGAAUUGUUUGGGGGGCUAGCCAGUUAAUUGGGUGGACUUCAGGAACUGAACCCACAGUGACUGAUCAGGCUUUAAAUCUGUCAACAAACAAUCCACUCCUUUGCCCAAACCAUCCACUGAGUCCGCUGUCUAUACCUGAACUGCGAGGGAUAGAGGCUUCCUAGACCCCAGCUUGCCCCGUGCUGGGGUGCAAGCCAAGUUUCGUGGGGGGGUUGUCUCUCAGUCCCUUCUGGUCUGGCUUUCCAGCUGGUGACACACUUAUUGUGGAAAUCUUUUAGUUCCCUGGGUCAGGAGACCUAAAAGGGAGAUUGGUGCCACCAGACCUGACUCCCCUCCCCUGACCUGGCUGUAAACUUUGCCCUCCGUGGGGUCAGGUCAGAGCUUGCCCUGUGCUGUCUACUAGUCUGGUUACUGAUUAAACCCCAGCAGAAGCCAGGCCAGGUUUGAUGAACUUGGGAGACUUUGGAUCCUUUGGAACCGGAAUGCUUGUCAACAAAGGGGAGGAGGUCUCUAGCAUCUGUAGGAGGGAUCGUGGGGGGUCGCUGAAGGACAGAGGCUGGACCUUCUUGAGGAAAGGCCGAUCUGCCCAUGCAUUGUCUCAGUCCUCACGUGUACUUGCCUAUCCCUGGGUCUUCCUGGGCUCAGCCGUGGCUGCCUACCUUGUUAUAGGUUGGAACCUACAACGAGCCCAGAUUUUUGUAGAGGUGUCCUCGUUGGAGAGGACAGGCAUCCAUCUUGCCUGCCGUUGGUUGCUUGGCUAAAUUUGAUCACCUGCUAGACGUGUUUGUCUUUUGUCUCUACCCUUUGUUUCCACUGCACCAAAGAACU
rnacentral:lncRNA from 1 species